rnacentral:rRNA from 1 species
UAUUGCGCAAUGGGGGAAACCCUGACGCAGCAACGCCGCGUGGGUGAUGAAGGUCUUCGGAUUGUAAAGCCCUGUUUUCUGGGACGAUAAUGACGGUACCAGAGGAGGAAGCCACGGCUAACUACGUGCCAGCAGCCGCGGUAAUACGUAGGUGGCGAGCGUUGUCCGGAUUUACUGGGCGUAAAGGGUGCGUAGGCGGAUGUUUAAGUGGGAUGUGAAAUCCCCGGGCUUAACCUGGGGGCUGCAUUCCAAACUGGAUAUCUAGAGUGCAGGAGAGGAAAGCGGAAUUCCUAGUGUAGCGGUGAAAUGCGUAGAGAUUAGGAAGAACACCAGUGGCGAAGGCGGCUUUCUGGACUGUAACUGACGCUGAGGCACGAAAGCGUGGGUAGCAAACAGGAUUAGAUACCCUGGUAGUCCACGCCGUAAACGAUGGAUACUAGGUGUAGGGGGUAUCAACUCCCCCUGUGCCGCAGUUAACACAAUAAGUAUCCCGCCUGGGGAGUACGGUCGCAAGAUUAAAACUCAAAGGAAUUGACGGGGGCCCGCACAAGA